GAAACACCCGUUUGGGAAUCAAACAGGAAAUCCUACCCCUGACUUCAUCUUUUUACCCUGACUCCUUCCAGGCCCAGCUGAGAGAGUAGACAUAUCAUCCUAGUGUGCUGAAUGGAAAAACAACAACAACCAAAACAAAACAAAAAAAAAACCAUUGUAAAGACAAUGCAUCAAGGAUAACCUCCAGUGAGUAAGUCGUGACUAUUUGCUCAUCCACAGCAACUGAAUUAUGGUCAGAGAUAUUGGAUCACAGAGAACGACAAGCCUGGGUUGGAGGCAAGGAAGAUACAAGCUCUCGCAUUGCUGUCACUUUGACCCUUAUU